CCUACGGGAGGCAGCAGUGGGGAAUAUUGGACAAUGGGGGCAACCCUGAUCCAGCCAUGCCGCGUGUGUGAAGAAGGCCCUCGGGUUGUAAAGCACUUUCAGUGAGGAAGAACGCCUGGUGGUUAAUACCCAUCAGGAAAGACAUCACUCACAGAAGAAGCACCGGCUAACUCCGUGCCAGCAGCCGCGGUAAUACGGAGGGUGCGAGCGUUAAUCGGAAUUACUGGGCGUAAAGCGCGCGUAGGUGGCUUGAUAAGCCGGUUGUGAAAGCCCCGGGCUCAACCUGGGAACGGCAUCCGGAACUGUCAAGCUAGAGUGCAGGAGAGGAAGGUAGAAGUCCCGGUGUAGCGGUGAAAUGCGUAGAGAUCGGGAGGAAUACCAGUGGCGAAGGCGGCCUUCUGGACUGACACUGACACUGAGGUGCGAAAGCGUGGGUAGCAAACAGGAUUAGAUACCCGUGUAGUC
rnacentral:rRNA from 1 species